rnacentral:rRNA from 1 species
GACGAACGCUGGCGGCGUGCCUAAUACAUGCAAGUAGAACGCUGAAGGAGGAGCUUGCUUCUCCGGAUGAGUUGCGAACGGGUGAGUAACGCGUAGGUAACCUGCCUGGUAGCGGGGGAUAACUAUUGGAAACGAUAGCUAAUACCGCAUAACAGUAGAUAUCGCAUGAUAUCUGCUUGAAAGGUGCAAUUGCAUCACUACCAGAUGGACCUGCGUUGUAUUAGCUAGUUGGUGAGGUAACGGCUCACCAAGGCGACGAUACAUAGCCGACCUGAGAGGGUGAUCGGCCACACUGGGACUGAGACACGGCCCAGACGCCUACGGGAGGCAGCAGUAGGGAAUCUUCGGCAAUGGACGGAAGUCUGACCGAGCAACGCCGCGUGAGGGAAGAAGGUUUUCGGAUCGUAAAGCUCUGUUGUAAGAGAAGAACGAGUGUGAGAGUGGAAAGUUCACACUGUGACGGUAUCUUACCAGAAAGGGACGGCUAACUACGUG